CUGCUUUGGCAGCACAUAUACUAAAAUUGGAACGAUACAGAGAAGAUUAGCAUGGCCCCUGCACAAGGAUGACACGCAGCCCUUAGCAAUAGUGAAUAAAGCU